AUGGGGCCCCUCUCAGUGCCUCCUACACACUGCAUAUCACCUGGAAGACUACUACUCACAGCAUCACUUUUAAUCUUCUGGAACCACCCACCACUGCCCAAGUCACGAUUGAAGCACAGCCAACCAAACUUUCUGAGGAAGGAUGUUCUGCUACUUGUCUAAUUUGCCCACAGAAUCUGUGGCUACAGCUGGUACAAAGGGCAAAUAAUGGACGUCCACCAUUACAUCACAUCAUAUGUAAUAGACACUGAAAUGAUUGUAUUUGGGCCUGCAUACAGUGGUAAAGCUGUAUAUUCCAAUGCAUCCCUGCUGAUUCAGAAUGUCACCCGGAAGGACACAGGAUCCUACACCAUACAAAUUAUAAAGCGAGGAGAUGGCUGUAGAUCUGUGGUAGGAUAUUGGUCUAAAAUUCUCUUUUUGGAGACUCCCAAGCCCUCAUCUCCAGCAGCAAACCCCAGGGAGGGGCACGGGAGACUGUGAUCUUAUCCUGUGAUCCUGACACUCAGGAUGUAAGCUACCUGUGGUGGAUAAAUGGUCAGAGACUCCCUAUGAGUCCCGGUUGCAACUGUCCAAAAACAACAGGACCCUCAGUCUAUUUGGUGUCACAAAGGAUACUGCAGGACCCUAUGAAUGUGAAAUGAAGAACCCAGGAGUUCAGCCACCCAGUGACCCAGUCAUGCUGAGUCUCCUCUAUGGUCCAGACUUCCCCAGGAUUUCCCCUUCAUUCACAUAUUACCAUUCAGGAGGAAACCUCUACUUGUACUGCUUCGCGGACUCUAACCCACCGGCAGAGUAUACUUGGACAAUUAAUGGGAAGUUUCUGCAAUCAGGACAAAUACUCUCUAUCCCCCAAAUUACUACAACGCAUAGCGGGCGCUAUGGUUGCUGUGUUCGUAACUCAGUCACUGGCAGGGAACGUUCCACAUUCAAGACGAUCAAAGUCUCUGCUCCUUCAGGAAGAGGACAUAUUCCUGGCCUUAAUCCCAUAUAUCAGCCGUGAUGUCAUUUCUGUAUUUCAGGAAGACUGGCCGUCAUGGUGGUCUUUUCUCCUGUCCUGUUUCCUGCAGGACUGGCUACCAUCUUGGGAGCAUGAAAGACUUAUUGGCCUGUAUCUGGGACUGGAUCUCCUCCUUCUUCCAC